rnacentral:rRNA from 1 species
AGCGAACGCUGGCGGCAGGCCUAACACAUGCAAGUCGAACGAACCUUUCGGGGUUAGUGGCGGACGGGUGAGUAACACGUGGGAACGUGCCUUUAGGUUCGGAAUAACUCAGGGAAACUUGUGCUAAUACCGAAUGUGCCCUUCGGGGGAAAGAUCUUUCGCCUUUAGAGCGGCCCGCGUCUGAUUAGCUAGUUGGUUGAGGUAAUGGCUCACCAAGGCGACGAUCAGUAGCUGGUCUGAGAGGAUGAUCAGCCACAUUGGGACUGAGACACGGCCCAAACUCCUACGGGAGGCAGCAGUGGGGAAUCUUGCGCAAUGGGCGAAAGCCUGACGCAGCCAUGCCGCGUGAAUGAUGAAGGUCUUAGGAUUGUAAAAUUCUUUCACCGGGGACGAUAAUGACGGUACCCGGAGAAGAAGCCCCGGCUAACUUCGUG